rnacentral:lncRNA from 1 species
ACACACACACACGUAUGCCACAUAUACAAAUUAGGGAGAUCUAAGGCUGAGCAUGUACUUUAGUGGUGUAAUUCCCAAACCAAGGGGGAAAUUCGGGGAGUUCUAGCAACCAGAAGCCUGCAUUUCAGCGGCAGCAUGCAGCUCUGGUCUGGGACUGCUGUGGGCCAGGCAGCCUGUCCCACCUGUGAGAGUCCUUGCUCAGCUCACAUCACCUUAACUCAGCCCUGGAGGCUUGUGUAAAGGUGACCGUGGAGACCUCCCAUGUAUGCUGUUCCCAGCAGAAGGCAGGAAGUAGGUUUUAAGGGACAGAAAAGCAGUACUACAUGACAGGUCGCAUGCGCAGGAGGUUGGAGUGACUGACUCAAGGACACUUCUGUGGCUCGUGCAGAGUUUCACUGCUUUUGUUCCUUUAGAUAUUCUGAAGGCUGGUGACCGUUGCAGACUGACUGAGAAAUGACAGGAACACAAAAGCAGAGCAGCAAGCCAUCCCAAGCUUGUGCCCAGCCCACCUUGCUAACAGGAGGGAACUGGUGUUGGCACCACUGUGCCCCCACAACACUGGCAGCAUCCCGUGGUGACUGCAGGAAUUUACAAUGUCCCCUCUGGAUUAAGUUAAGAAUGCUGCCUGUUCUAGCCUGAUUUCUCUGUGCUGUGACAGACACCUGGAGGGGAAAGGGCUUAUUUUAUCUCCAUGUCCGUGUCACAGUCCAUCAUAGGGGGAAAUCAAGGCAGGAACUCGAGAAUCUGGAGGCAGGAACUGAAGCAGAGACUGUUGUAGAACAAACACAUUUAAGAUGUGUUACAUUUGUUUAUGCUGUGGAAUAUUUUUUAAUGAUGCAAAGAUGAGUUGUAUUCCUUUAUGUUGCAUUUGUUUAACUCUGUGAAGCUGUGAUACUUUGCCUGUCUAAAACACCUGAUGGUCUAGUAAAGAGCUGAGUGGUCGAUAAUGAGGCUGGAGAAAGGACAGGCGAGGCUGACAGGCAAACAGAAUAAAUUAAAGGAGGAGGAGAUCAAGUAACAAGAAAAGAAGGGGCCAGCCACACAGCCACAUAGCCAGUCACAGGGUAAGAGUCAAAGUAAGAUUACAGAAUCAAGAAAAGAGAAAAGCCCAGAGGCAAAAGGUAGAUGACAUAAUUUAAAUUAAGAACAGCUGGCUAGAAAAAAGGCAAGCUAAGCUAAGGCUAGGCACCUGUGUAAUUAUUGAGGAGCUAGGUGGUGGGUCCCCAAAGAGUAAAGACCAAAAGAGUAAAACAACCAACAAGAGACCACAGAGGGCUGUUGCUUCCUGGAUUGCUUUCUUAUACAUCCCAGGACCAUGUUGCUUCCUGGAUUGCUUUCUUAUACAUCCCAGGACCACAAUGGGCCUGACCCUCCCACAUCAAUCACUAAUCCAGAAGAUACCCCCAUAGAUAUGCCUAUAGGCCAGCUGAUAGGGUAAAUCCCUUAGUUAAAUUUCUAUCUUCCUAAGUGACUCUAGUUUAUGUCAAGUUAACAAACCUUGCCGGCUCACAGUCCUUAUCCCUGCCAAAUACUGUGAUUUAGAGAUACUGAUGGAGGCAGGAUCCUGCAAAGCCAAGCCCACUGCUCUCCACUCCUUGAGGCUUCAAUUGGGAGACUUCAUCCCACAGCACUGCAUUGCCACACCCCCGGGAUGAUUCGAACACCUACAAUUCCACUGGAUAGGCAGCCCUAGGAAAAUAGGCCUCCUCCUGUUAAAUGACUAACCAAAUCAGAAGUUUUGUUCUACAUCCAGCCAACGCCCCAGUGAGGAGGGUAUCCUGCUGAUAAACUGUUUGGUACAAUCGGGACAUAGGAGGAUGUGCACUUAAGGAAGAGAGACCUGACAGGCUCAGGAAAUGACAUCAUGCUCCAAGCCUCGAGCUACAAAAGGGCAUACAGGCUGGAAGGCAGUCAUCACACAGAGGCAGUUGUCAAAGCCAGUUUCCUCUGGUUGGCCAACACAGGUCAGGAAAAGCGCCCAAGCUCACUCUGUGUAGAAGACACCUGGCACCAGUGAGCGGCCUCAAGGAGCAGUGAUGGUGCAUGCUAUUUACUCAACAUCCAUCUGUGACCUCCUUGCUUACAGAACUCCAGUUUUGUUCAGGAGACAAUAUGACAAACUUGGAAAACUCCUAUCUUCCCAGUUUGCCAGACUGGUGCUAUGAUUCCCAGAAAUACAAAUCCCCAGAAAGGAACUAAAGGGAGCAGCUCCCCUUUCGGCAGCCAUAACACCCGAACACAUGCUUGUCUGAUCUUUGUCCUAGACACUAGAAAGUCAGAUGCCUGCCUCGUGACAAGAACCAAUCAGAAGUUAGCUGGUGGCGCUAUGCUUUAUGACCCUGGGUGUACUUUAUGGACAAGCGCACAGCAAUGACCCACAGAGCAUAGCAACCACCCUGGGAGGGCUUAUGGGUCAACAACCAGUUGACCAAUCAACACAGGGCAAGCCCUCCAAGCCUGGAGGCACACCAAUCGUGAGCCUGUGCGUACCCCUAGACACUCCCUUUAUGCUGUCCUACAAGAUCUCUCGGGAGCCCCUAGGAGUUGUCUUUGCUAGCCAUCCACCAUGGCGGGUGGGUGAAAGACCUGAGCUAACAUGGGGUUAGUUCGUUAAAAAAAACAAUAAAGACUCAUGCAGCUUGCAGCAAGCUCUCGAAUCCACCUGGUGAUUGGGGUGACCACGGUCAUGGCCUGGGACCCCGGAUACCUGAGUUUUCUGGGGGUCUAACAUUUGGGAGCUCGUCCAAGAUUUGUGACCACCCCUCACCUGAGUGGAUUCGAUCUUGGAGGUAAGAUGAUUUGAGCUCACAACUUAUAUGUUCAAUGUUAUAUGUUUGCUUGUUAUGUCUCUUGCUGUUUUGUUGGUUUGGUGACUUGAAUUUGAUCUGAGCCUGCGCAGAACUCGUAUUUGUAAUUUGUAUUUGUAAUUUGUAAUGGUAAUUUGGACCAUAGGGAAAGCAGAUGUGCCCGGAAAACAGAGGUGUUUCUGGAACCCUUGGUUCUGCCCUGGACGAAAGUCCAAGGGUUGUUUGUAAUUUUGGUUUGGGGCACCAUUCCUCUGCCUCACGGUUUGUCCUGUCUGAUGUCUGUCCUGUUUUUGCUGUUUGUCUGUCUCCAUACUAACCACCCCCCUCAGUCUGACUUUUGACCACUGGACGGACGUUAAGGACCAUAGUUAGUCAGUUAAAGUUCUGACAUCCCCUUUCGUUGAGUCACAUGGCACCACACUAGGUAACUUUCCCGGCCUUUGUUUCUGUAUGCCUGGAGGAUUGGAAUGGGCUGGGUGACUGAGCAGUUGAGCAGCAGGUUUGUUAUGUUAUCUGAUCUGUUGCAGUCCAUACCCCCACCGCUUGCUUGUGUGUCAGUUUUAUUAUUUUUUGUUAAUUUUGUAAAUGUAAAGGUUUACAAGAAUUGUUUAGGGUGGGGGUUCGGGCGGCAGCCUUCCGAAAUCUGUAGGGGAGACUUGGUUUCGGACCAAGUUGAUCUCCAUGGGGCUAGCCAUCUGAAAUUCCGAAUAGGAACCGAGUCUGUGUUAAACAUCUUUUUCUGUCCCUACUGCCCACACACAUGGCAUGCAUGUGUCAGGGGUCUUUUCUUGAUGCUCUGAGCACAUGGAACCCCCGGCGGGAGCCACCUCAACUAUGAUCCGCAGAUACGCCCGGAGGACAGACUGCUGCCCUGAGGACACCCAGGACCCAGGAGGUACGGAUGGGGGCCAAGGACACUUGGACCCACCUCAGUUAGCGGCGGGGUUCUGCUGCCUGUCUUCCCGGCGCCAUUGCCUUAUAAGCAGCGCGGGCGGAUUGGGUUGGUGUCUGUUCUUUCCUGUCUAUUCUGUGUUAUCGUGGUUGGUUUUCAAUUCAGGAUCCACCAUGCCAACCCCCUUCUAUCCCCACCUGCAGGUCUGUGAGGCAUGCCAAGUGGGGCUGUCUCUGCCCCAGCUGCCAUCCUGCCAUGGGUCCUGGCUUGAGGCAGGGGUUUCCCUGCUCUGAGGGAACAUGGCUGCAGGGCCGCCAUCUGCCUGGUUGCCCAGCCUUCUCUGUGCUCUACACACAUGGUAUGCAGGGGGGCCUUGGGGGUCUUUUUCCCACCCCUGCAUUGGCCGAGGGUCUGGAGUUACCAGCAGCACCUCCACCCUAGUUCUCUUCCCUGAACUCGUGGAGCUAGGGCAGGUGAACUAUCUGGUCUGAUUUAGAUGUUCUAAAAAAAAAAAAAAAAAAAAAAAAAAAAAAAAAAAAAAAGGCCUUAAAGUUAUUAAAAACUGUGAAAGGGACUUUGAUAAAAAUUUUUAUGUUGACUGAGAAAUGAGGGAAAAUGUAGGAGACUUAAUAAAGAGAGAAAGGGAAAGAAAAAUUUGUCUAAGAAUGUCUAAGAAAAUCAGAGGAAUGAACUAAAGGUAUAUAAAAAGGGUAUAGAGAGUUAAAGCAAGUCGUAGAAGGUCAGAGAAAAGGUUGUUAAGAGAAAAAUGUAAACUUUUUGCUUUGGUUUCUCAUGUCUACAAAUAGUAAAUUUUAAAAAUAGUAAUAUAAGUUAAAAUUUUAACCAUAUUAAGCUAAUUCUGUUUUAAAAAGUCCUGUUUAUUUCUCAAGUAAUUUAUAUAUGCUUGUUUUAAAAAGUUCUGUUUCCUGGUAUAACCUAAGUUCUGUUACAAGCAUGUAGCUAAACAAAUGAUGCAAGUUACCGCCAUUUUAUAGCCAGCCACAUGGCAAACUGGUCACAUGGCUGACUGGUAGCCAUUUUGCUGAAGUUAAAAAAGGAUACUUAAACCGCCAUCUUGACUAAAGGUGACCGCAUGGAAAUUAGAGGUACCAUCCUAGAAACAAGUUUUUCAGUUAAGAUUUAAAAUGUUAAUGCUUCUCUAUAUAUUACAGAAAGACAUUAAGGGAAUUUAAAUUUCUUUUUAAAACCAGUUUUUUUAAUGUUUGUUUUUAUUAAUGUUUGUACAUAAAGAGCUUCAAUUUAGAAUCAUUUUUAAGCAAAGCCUGACAAUGUAAAGUUCUUGUUUUAUAAAAGCUGCUAAUCUAUUAUAAGAUGUUACAGUUUAUGUUUUCAGAAGUUAAGUUUAGGGCAUUGGUGGCACAUUGCCUUUAAUCCCACCACUUGGAGGCAGAGGCGGGUGGAUCUCUGUGAAUUUGAGGCCAGCCUGGUCUACAGAGUUAGUUCCAGAACAGCCAGGACUGUUAAGCAGAGAAACCCUGUCUCAGAAAUAAGUUUAAACAAAGCAGCUAAAAUGUGUACAUGUGGCUACUGUUUAAGGACUAUAAUGUAACCCUAUGCAGUCUUAAAUUCAGCUGUGCUAAGUUUUAAAUAUUUUACUAAGUUAAAACCAGUUACAAUCUGGCUGAAAAUUAGUUACAGAAAUAAGACCUUACCUAGCCACCUGUAUGCUUCUUGUGUGCUUAAGGCAAGUAACUAAAACAGACAAACAGACUUCUAAUGCUUCAGAGAUCUUCAGAAUAUGGCAUUUAAAUUAUCUUUAAAGUUUAUAAUGUCAGACAGACUGCCAGAUCCUGACAGUGACCCAAAGUCUCCAAAGAAGAUUAUGAGGCACCCCAGUUACUGCACCUGGACCAGAGAGCGAGAUGCUCAGAUGUGAUACCUGCCGCCUGCCAGGACCUAGCCGAGACUGUGGACAAAGCUGCUGGACACUGGAAAAUUGAUUGCACCCCUUUGCCUAGACAAAACAAGGUCAGUCUUUUCCAUGUCCCUCUUCCACAGAGAUGAAAAAGAAAACCUCUCACCUUAUAGGCCUGGCGAAGAUUGCUGGUCUUUGAGACACCUGCCUCCAGUGGUAAUGGAGAAACUUGGGUGUGGCUAACUGUAUAUAGACUGGCUUCUAACUGGCUUCUGUCACUUUUUAGUAGAUUCGGAUAAAAUAUACCCUUCUCAGAUCUCUGAAAUAUUACUGGUUGUCAGCUUGACAGCAUCAGACAGUCAGAUCCACUAUAGACUAUAGUCAGCAUGUUAGGUGGUAAAAUAGUGACUAUCUGCUGUUCAGGCACAAGCUCAAGGUUUUUAGGUUUAUUUUGGUUGUCAUCUAAGUAUAAACUUAAAAGGCUUUUCAUCAGGCCAAAGGAACCUCUGUCCAAUCCAUACCUGGCUCUCUGGACAGAAGAAAAAUGUACAUGCUUAUAGCCCAAAUCAGUCAUUAUUGCUAGGACUCAAAGUUAUAAAUAUGUUCCUUCUGUUUGAACAGAUAUCCAGAUAUCUGCUUUUUCUGCACUAUGGGCUUCAGUAAAUAAGUUUUAACCUCUGUUCCUAGUUUAAACAUGUCUUAAACAGGUUUCUGCUUCUGGCAGACAUCUGAGUAUCAGUUGCUGACUACAGGCUGUUCUAAGUAGACUGCGAGCCCUGGACUUGCUGUGGAUGUGAACCAGUCCAGCUGAUGUGGACACUCCGUCUCUGCAACAAAGUCUGCCAACAGCCCCUGGUGGAUUCCACAUUGCCUAAAUUCCCUUUUUUGUUUUUGACUAGCAUUUCAACCUUCUGGGGUCCCUAACUUUGUCCCAAAGUCAGCAGGAAGUAGCUUGGGAAAGAAUUCGCCGCCCAUUUUCCCUGGUUAAAAUGCUAAGUCAGGAGGGACUCCCUUGCAUGGGGAUGCCAAUAUCUCUCACUCCCUGAUGGGGGCGCUAGAGAGACAGCAAUUCCAUCAUUGGAAUUUCUAAAAAAAAGAAAAUGGGGGAAUGAAGGGACCAGCUCCCCUUUCGGCAGCCAUAACGCCCGAACACGUGCUUGUCUGACCUUGUCCUAGACACUAGAAAGUCAGAUCCCUGCCUCAUGACAAGGAACCAAUCAGAAGUUAGCUGGUGGCGCUAUGCUUUAUGACCCUGGGUGUGCUUUACGGACAAGCGCACAGCAAUGACCCACAGAGCAUAGCAACCACCCUGGGAAGGCCUAUGGGCCAUAACAACCAGUUGACCAAUCAACACAGGGCAAGCCCUCCAAGCCUGGAGGCACACCAAUCGUGAGCCUGUGCGUACCCCUAGACACUCCCUUUAUGCUGUCCUACAAGAUCUCUCGGGAGCCCCUAGGAGUUGUCUUUGCUAGCCAUCCACCAUGGCAGGUGGGUGAAAGACCUGAGCUAACAUGGGGUUAGCUCGUUAAAAAAACAAUAAAGACUCAUGCAGUUUGCAGCAAGCUCUCAAAUCCACCUGGUGAUUGGGGUGACCACGGUCAUGGCCUGGGACCCCGGAUACCUGAGUUUUCCGGGGGUCUAACAUAACUAGCACCUUUUUUUUUUUAUCAUCAUCUUAAAGGUACUGACAGCAGCCCCACAAGUACAACAGCCCUCCCUACUUGCCAGCCUUGAAUACCGUGGAGAUGAAGCAGCUAGACAGUGGGAACCAGGGAAAGGAAGUUAUAGAGAGCCUAGACGUUAGGAGCAUUCAUGAACCAGAUAGGACCCUGCCCCUCUGAGGAGGAUGCCACAAGGCUAUUCAUUGGCAUCAAGGUCACUGUAGGUCAUCUUGUUCUGCCUAUAGUCACAGUUGUAGAACCUAGAACUCCCAGAUUUUACUCCCGAGGGCAGAAAACCACCAAAGGCCAUGUUCCUGACCUGACAUUGCAGAGUCACUGGCUGUUUACCUCAGGAGGGGAAGAUGGGAACCUUUAAGUCUGACUAUUAAUAGAGGCACAGACAGUAACAUGUUGUGACUUAAGGUGACUCUGGGCUCUUAGCAUCCACACGGGGAGAGGGGGGGAGCAAAUGACUGGGCUCGGAACAUAGGUGGGAUCUUAGAUGUGUCUUAAUGCUUUCUUAUAUACUGGCGGGGGAAAACCCAAGGCUUUUGAAUAGAUGAUUCGUAUGUUUCUUUUGUGUUUUCUUCCAGAACGAGAAUUAUUGCUAAUGGGAAGGCGGGAAGGAGUGAUGUGCCUCAUCCCAGGAGACAAUUCUUCUGGGUGUCUUGUUUUUCCGUAUGACAGAAAAGCUUUUGUUUGAAGAUCUUUUCAAGGCCAUUUAGAUAGCAACCAUCCUUGUGUAAGAGAUACAGACUCUCCCUGGGACCAAGAGCAGUUUUUUGUUUUGUUUUUUAAUGUACAGGCAAAUAACAAAGUCUCUUGUGGGCAAAACUGGGCCAAGAUUGUUUGCAGACUCUUUCAUAGGACCUGGCUUCCUAGACUCACAGUGCUCAGAGGUGCAUAUGCAUACCCACCUGGGCUGCUGUUCCCAGGGAGCCUGGGGCUGGGGGAGGAUUACAGAAACACCAAACACAUCUUUUGUGCCUUCUCUCACCAUCUAUGACAGUGAGGCUUACUGUCUUGUGUGCUGGCAGCAGGGCAGGCUCCCAUUGCUUCCCAGUCCUCAGUGCCUAUCACAGGCCGGACUGGUGGAGCACAGUGAAGAGGAGGCUGGUGUGAACUCCAGGGCAGAAGACGACGGUACAGUCAUUCCUGAGAGGGAUAGGACAAUAUCUGGCUUUGUAGGCAGACAGGAGCAGAGCAGGGGCAUCUGUAAGGGUGUAAUCCAUAGGAGAGGGCCUUGGUUCAACCUUAGAUAGGCAAGCUCUAUAAACACAGCAAGCUCUUGGGUUGCCUUCUCCCUCUGUCUCUUGGCUGCAUUAGUGUUCCCUCAUAAUGCCAACUGCAGACUUUAUUUUUUUUAAGCCAAACUUUAUGAAGCACUUAGGGAAUCUAAUUCCUGAAACUGGAGCCUAGGAAUCUGGAUUACUUAUGGAUGUAAAGGUGGAUCUGUCUAUUUUCUGUGGUAAGUGGGAAGGCACUUGGAGUGGCACUGUUAGAUUAGAAGUGGCGGAAGUGCCUUACUGUAGAGGCAAGCUUUGAGGGUUCACACACGCAAGCCACACUCAGUGACACAGUUCACUUCCUGUUGCCUGGGGAUCGAAAUGUAAAACUCUCAGCUCUUCUUCAUUCCCACAUCUGCCUGCAAGCCUACCAGCCGUGAUGAUAAUGGACUAAACCUCUGAACUGUAAACCAGCCCCAGUGAUACGUUUUCCUUGAGAAGAAUUGCCAUGGUCAUGGUGUCUCUUCACAGCAAUGAAAACCCUAAAACAACACUGGCCUGUUAAAAACUAAGAACAUUCACGCAUUCCUCAAAAUUCUCAUAGAAAACUGUAUGUUAGUUCCUAUCUGUAACCCCAGCCCAUGGAAAGUUGAGGCAGAAGAAUCAUGAGUUUUAGGCCAUCCUGGGGUAUAUAGUGAGACUCCCUGUCUAAAAAAAAAAAAAGCCCACCUAAAGUGACAUGGUCAACAGCCAUCCAUGUAUAUGGACUACUGUUCAACUUCUAGCCUUUUGUGGGUCACUGAGUUCUGACUCAGGAACCCAUUAUCACUUGCUAAGAAAACUGUCACAUCUUUGUGUGAGGAGACUUUAUAGCCAGCAGCUCCGAGUGUUGGUCUAAGGUAGAGACCACCCCACAGGAUCUAUCAGAGAGCUUGCUGACCCUCAGAAACUGCCCUUCAGCAAAAUAAUCAAGAUGCCUCUCAUGCCAGUUUUCCUGGGAAAGGCCCCAGAUAUGAUCACUAUUCACUUUCAUGUACCCCAUCACUGCAGCUGCAAAGCUAAGUACCCCAUCACUGUGAACGCAAAGCCAAGUACCCCGUCACUUCAGAUGCUCAGACAUCAGAACCUCUUAGGAUUCCCAUGGAGCCUGGAACUCCUACAGCUGGCAAAGGACAUAGUUGUACCCCUAGCCUUCCUCUUUGGCUUGCCAUGUAUUAGUAUGUGGUCCACAGCCUCCCCAUGUGUGGCUGCAGCUGUGCCUGUCUUGAAAAGCUAGGUCUCCUGUCAUGGAAGGCACUAGUCUUACACAUAUCCAUCCUUACUACCUGACCGAAGGGGACAGGAUUCAUGUGAGUCUCAGUUUUGCGUGUCUACACAGCAGUGUUCUGUCAAUCUAACCUGGACCCUGCUUCCUGCAACACAGCAGUUCUAGUGAGGAGUUGGUGGAGAAAUCUAUUAAGCCUGGAGAAACUCAGAAUUUAUUAGCAAACUAAUCUUUCAAAGGUGGAAUCUCCACUCAGUUACUUCCCCAGUUUGAUGUUUAAAUAGGAUUAGUGGCAUGGAGGGAGCCAGGAGGCUCAGAGAGUUUCUGUUCCAGGAAUCAGGCUUGGGCCAUUCUAGGGUCAACUGACAGUUACUAUAAUUGUAUUGUCAUUCUAAAAAUGCAUUUAGAGGCAAGAAGAGACAGUUCUGUUACAGAAUAAAAGCCCAUGCUUUGGGAGAACACAAAUCACCCUGACAACUGCCUUGACAUUCAUUCAGCCAGCCUGCCCUCACAGAUCACCAUAGAUGUGAUGGACUGAUUCCUCAUGGCUCAGGAGGCUGGGAAGUCCAACUCAGGGUGCCAGCAAAGGUGGAUUCUUUUUCAGGUCUCUAUUCCUAGAUCGACGCUUGGAGAAAGGGAGGAGGUUCUUGUCUCCUCUCUUUUCUUUAUGGGGUCAACACUCAUGUCACAAACCUAAUUACCCAUCAAUGGUCAUCAAAAAUGCCACCACAAUAGAUUACAGCUUCCACACAUGAAUUUGGUGGAGUCGGGUAGUGGUGGUGGGGUGGGCGAGACAAACUUUGAGUCUACAGCACUGGAAUGCUACUGAUACAGAGGACAGUAACACAGGCCAGGCCUGCAGAGCUUUCAUUCCAACAGAAAAGAUGCCAUUCAGUUCAAAGUGAUGGAGUCUUAAAAAAAAAAAAAAGAAGUCACAGGAGCCCACGUUGGGACCAGGGCAACAGAGCUCAGAGGACUUCCCUGACAUAGCUCUUCAGGAUAGGCCGAGGCUCUAUCGGGGGGCCCAAAUAUAGUAUUUCGGGAUAGGCCUCAGCUCAAUCCCAGGAACUCGAAUCGCCUAUUGUCUUUUAGAUGUUGACUGGUUACCUCCAGAUAACCUGGUAGAAAAUGGCUCCUAGUUUGUGUAACAAUAGACCUAGGCCCUGGGUGGACCCAUACCCAUCCUGAGAGCUAGUGAGACACGCUGGAAGGCUAGUGGGAUGUGCCACUGUGGAAUGUCUGAGGGCUUGAGUGCUUGCAUGCAUGCAUUCUAGGACUAUCUCUAGGAUUAAAGGAAGUGUUUCCUAGUCAGCCCUAUAUACAUGAUAAGAUGUCUUCUGCCAGUACCCCCACUUUUGGAAAGUUAUUUAAGAUGAUGCUGGAAUAAACCAUGGUCUCCAGUACUGACUGAGAGCCCUCCUGUGAUGACAAGAUGUCUCUGUCUUGUCCUUAACGCCCUUGGGUAGCUAGGACUUCCUUCAUCCACACCCCUCACACUCAGGGUUGGACCCGGAGCUGGUUCCCACUGCAGCCCCAAAGACAUCAGUCCAGAAUAGAUGGCCUCUGUAAUGUGGGACUGAUACAGGCCAGACCUCGGCAAGGCUCGAACCCAAUUUAAAGAGUAAGAACAUUUGAACUCUUUUCAUCUUUGCAGAGACUGUACCAAAAUGGCAUUACUACUGCCAGGCAGGCACUGAGGACAGGAGAAAGUGGCCUGGCCAUCACAGGCAAUAUUGAGAUUAAUAUGUUGAAGGCUCCCUUUGCAGAACAGCAGGAGGAAGAAGCCCUGUUUGACCCAUUUGAGUGCCUUCCUGACCUUCUCAUAGCCUAGAAAUAAGCAGAAUGUUUGACAUACAUAAGGUUCAAAAGAUGUAUGUUGAGAGUUGGCAAUUAGCAAUUACUCUAGAAAACAGCAGAAAUUUAAUUGGGACUUGAAAUCCGAGCCCCAGAUACUCUUUUCUAAAAAAGACACAGUAUACUCUGAAGAGUCAUUUUCUUGUAUGAAGGAGUCAAGAUCUCAUGUAGCCCAAGCUGGCCAUGAAGUUGCUAUAUAGCUAAAGAUGACCUUGAACUCUUGAACUACCCACCUCCUCAGGGCUAGGAUUAUAGGCAUGUAUCACCAUGCCUAGUGUUCUGGUUAUUUUCUUAUUUCCUCAUACUUCAUCCAAGUAAUUCAGGAAAGCACUGAGAGAAGGGGUGUGUGUGUGUGUGUGUG